rnacentral:rRNA from 1 species
CAGCACCUCAAGUGGUCAGGAUGAUUAUUGGGCCUAAAGCACCCGUAGCCGGCGCUGUAAGUUUUCGGUUAAAUCUGUACGCUCAACGUACAGGCUGCCGGGAAUACUGCAGCGCUAGGGAGUGGGAGAGGUAGACGGUACUCGGUAGGAAGGGGUAAAAUCCUUUGAUCUAUUGAUGACCACCUGUGGCGAAGGCGGUCUACCAGAACACGUCCGACGGUGAGGGAUGAAAGCUGGGGGAGCAAACCGGAUUAGAUACCCGAGUAGUCC